rnacentral:rRNA from 1 species
AUUGAACGCUAGCGGGAUGCUUUACACAUGCAAGUCGAACGAGUGGCGGACGGGUGAGUAAUAUAUCGGCACGUGCCCAGUCGCGGGGGAUAACUACUCGACAGUAUGUCUAAUACAGCCUACUAUUGUAGCGGCCGCUAUCGGUUUAGCGAGUUGGUGGGGUAAAGGCUCACCACGGCAACGAUCCCUAUAUGGUUUGAGAGGCCGACCAGCCACACUGGGACUGAGAAACGGCCCAGCCUCCUACGGGAGGCAGCAGUGGGGAAUAUUGGACAAUGGGCGAAACCCUGAUCCAGCCAUCCCGCGUGUAUGAGAAGGCCUUCGGGUUGUAAAGUACUUUUGGCAGAGAAGCGGUAUCUGCAGAAUAAGCACCGGCUAACUACGUGCCAGCAGCCGCGGUAAUUC